rnacentral:rRNA from 1 species
GGCGCUUCCGGAUAUUGGGCGUAAGAGCUCGUAGGCGGUUUGUCGCGUCUGCCGUGAAAGUCCGGGGCUCAACUCCGGAUCUGCGGUGGGUACGGGCAGACUAGAGUGAUGUAGGGGAGACUGGAAUUCCUGGUGUAGCGGUGAAAUGCGCAGAUAUCAGGAAGAACACCUAUGGCGAAGGCAGCUCUCUGGGACGGUACUGACGCUGAGACGCGAAAGCGUGGGGAGCGAACAGGAUUAGAUACCCUGGUAGUCCACGCCCUAAACGAUGUCAACUAGGUGUUGGGGGAGGAGACUUCCUUAGUACCGCAGCUAACGCGUGAAGUUGACCGCCUGGGGAGUACGGCCGCAAGGUUGAAACUCAAAGGAAUUGACGGGGGCCCGCACAAGCGGUGGAGCAUGUGGUUUAAUUCGACGCAACGCGAAGAACCUUACCAGGGCUUGACAUCCCGCGAAUCCCUUCGAAAGAAGGGAGUGCCCGCAAGGGAGCGCGGAGACAGGUGGUGCAUGGCUGUCGUCAGCUCGUGUCGUGAGAUGUUGGGUUAAGUCCCGCAACGAGCGCAACCCUCACCUCUUGUUGCCACCAGGUCAUGCUGGGCACUCUAGAGGAACUGCCCCGGUCAACGGGGAGGAAGGCGGGGAUGACGUCAAGUCAUCAUGCCCCUUACGUCCUGGGCUACACACGUGCUACAAUGGCCGGUACAAAGGGAUGCCACACCGCGAGGUAGAGCUAAACCCAAAAAGCCGGUCUAAGUUCAGAUUGGAGUCUGCAACUCGACUCCAUGAAGGAGGAGUCGCUAGUAAUCGCGGAUCAGAACGCCGCGGUGAAUACGUUCCCGGGCCUUGUACACACCGCCCGUCACACCACGAAAGCCCGUUGUACUCGAAGUCGCCGAGCUAACCCGCAAGGGAGGCAGGCGCCGAAGUAUGACUGGUGAUUGGGGUGAAGUCGUAACAAGGUAACC